rnacentral:rRNA from 1 species
UACGGGGGGGGCAAGCGUUGUUCGGAAUUACUGGGCGUAAAGGGCAUGUAGGUGGUUUAGUAAGUCGACUGUGAAAUCCCUGGGCUCAACCCAGGAACUGCGGUUGAUACUACUGAACUAGAGUGCUAGAGGGGUUCGUGGAAUACUCGGUGUAGCGGUGAAAUGCGUAGAUAUCGAGUGGAAUAUCAGAGGCGAAGGCGACGAACUGGAUAGUAACUGACACUCAACUGCGAAAGCGUGGGUAGCAAACAGG